rnacentral:lncRNA from 1 species
AUUUCCUGGCUGAGAAGGUCCCGAGAUACCAGGCUGACUGGAAGCUCCCACACAGCCCAUUUCUGGGACCUGAGGGCGCAAGGCUCCACAGAGGAAUACCGGCGGGGAAUGCAGUGGAGACCCCCAGGAAGGUGUCUCCAAGCAGAAGGGAGAGAGAGGCCGUGUCUCAAAACUCCAGAGGCUUCUGAAGUCCUUCUGGAGAGUUAAGAAAAUCGGAGCUCAUGUGAAAGCAUUCUUGUCAUACAACUGCCUUCCAAUGGCAUGACCACGGAAGGAGAACAGCUCCUCACCAAAGCAGCCAUGAUGGAUUCUGACAUUUUCGACAUUGGUGUGCCCAGUGGAAGUUUCCUACAAGGGGUGACAGCUCUGGACAGGGCAUCAGGUGCCUGUGUGCUCACUGCAAGUCUGCCCCUGGUCGGCUAUAUGAUCUUGGUCAAGCUGCUCUGUCUCUCUGGGUCCAGCUAGACAAGAUGCUCACUGAGUCCCCUCCUGACUCAUUUGUGAUUUUAUAAGGGUUGCCUGGUACAUGCUUUCUGAAGGGGAGAGCAAGGGGAGGAGGAACCAAUGCAGAGACUCACCACGGACCUGAGUCUUGGCAGGGAGGAGAGAGCAGAGGGAGCCUGGGGCUGAGGAAGACUGGGGGCAGGGGUGCUAGAGAUGCCUCUCUUCUUUCACAAACCUCCUGUGCUGGCCUGCUCCCGGAGUGCUGUCCAGAAAGCCUCUUCAAGAAACCCAUUACAAGUGACCACAAAGAAUGCCCGUUCCAAGACAUGCAUUCUGAGGGAGGUGUGCACCAAAGCUUUAGUGGGCAGGAAGCUACCCCACCACCCAGCUCCAGCACUGCUGGGAGCUGAUUCCAGCCCAGCCACUCCUCAUGGCUUUUAUAUGGCCCUGCUGGGCCCUGGCGAUCUGGUUUGAAAAUCAUGGUUCUAUCUCAAUCCAAUCAAUGGAAAACUGAAUUUCAAGUGUUAUCUCCCCUCAAACAAAAAACAAAACAAAAAAACAACAAAAAAAACAGGGUGAAAAAGAGCACACAGUGGCUCUCAACACAGCUUUCACCUUCCUCCCUGGAUUCUGCCAUUCCUGGAUGUGCUUACACAGAGCUGGCUGCUCGGAUUUCCCCUAGUGAAUGCAACCAGUUACCGGACUGCGACAGGUGCAUGGACCCCAGCACCUUCUCUCAAACACCCACGCUUGGAGGAAAACGUGGCAGCUCUCUCCCCAGCUGGGGCUUGGCCUGGGGUGCCCACCCUCUUUCUCAUUAAGCAGCCCUUCAUCUGAGAGGUAAGAAACUCAAGUUCAUCCAGCGUGUGAACCUGCAAUGUGGGGUGUGCUAAGAUCCAGGCGGGCUAAUGAUCACUAACAAUGCUCCCUAUCCAACCCAGCAAGGCACACAAGGACAAAACCCCACCUACGGAUCCAGCUGCAUGCCUGAGUUUUGAGUACACAGCCAAAGAAAAAAGCAUGCUCAGGUUGUCCAGAAAAAAAAGGAAACCUGAAAAAAAAAAAAAAACCACAAUAGCGAGAAAGGGGGUCUAAGUUUCCUCGGAGGUCCUCAACUGUCUGUAGAAGUGCCCCACCCAGAACCCAAAAUAAAAUGAAGUAACCCCGCCCCUGGUCAGGGUCCUGUCUUUUUUAUUAUCCAGACACACG